GUACACGCUGUGACUAGCAUAUCAAUAAGCGGAGGAAAAGAAACUAACAAGGAUUCCCUCAGUAACGGCGAGUGAAGCGGGAAGAGCUCAAAUUUGAAAUCUUGAAAGGUCACCUUUCACGAAUUGUAGUUUAAAGAAGUGUUUUCUGUUACGAUCGUAAUAUAAGUUCUUUGGAAUAGGACAUCACAGAGGGUGAGAAUCCCGUCUAUGAUUGCGAUUUGUAGCUUUGUGAUACACUUUCAAAGAGUCGGGUUGUUUGGGAAUGCAGCCCAAAACGGGAGGUAAAUUUCUUCUAAGGCUAAAUAUUGGCGAGAGACCGAUAGCGAACAAGUACCGUGAGGGAAAGAUGAAAAGAACUUUGAAAAGAGAGUUAAAUAGUACGUGAAAUUGUCAAAAGGGAAGCGUUUAACACCAGUGUUGUUUUCUGAAAAUCAACCUCUGUUAGCUUUAUGCAUGUUUGUUUAGACCUAAUCAGCUAUCUUGCAUGUUCUAUUGUUUGCAGUGGUGCACUUUUCAGUUUACAGGUCAACAUCAGUUUUUUUUACCGUAAAAAAGUUAAAGAAAGGUAGCUCAUGGCUCCGGUCGUGAGUGUUAUAGUCUUUUUCCUAUGCGGUAGGAGAGACUGAGGUCUGCAGUGUAGGCUAUUUGGCUAGAUACUCAGGUGCUAUGUGAUACCAUUUCAUAAACAACUUGUUGAUUAUGUUUUGUCUAUUGCAUACUCGCUUGUACUAUCAUACCUACGCUUAGGAUGUUGAGUAGCGACAUACGCC
rnacentral:rRNA from 1 species